ensembl:lncRNA
CAUGGUUGGAGUUGCAGGGCAGGGUGAGGUCUCACGGUUGGAGGUGCAGGGUGAGGUGAGGUCUCAUGGUUGGAGGUGAGGGCGAGGUGAGGUCUCAUGGUUGGAGGUGAGGGGGUGAGGUCUCAUGGUUGGAUGUGCAGGGUGAGGUCUCAUGGUUGGCAGGGUGUCUCACGGUUGGAGGUGCAGGGUGAGGUCUCAUGGUUGGAGGUGAGGGGGUGAGGUCUCGUGGUUGGAGGUGCAGGGCAGGGUGAGGUCUCGUGGUUGGAGGUUCAGGGUGAGGUCUCAUGGUUGGAGGUACAGGGUGAGGUCUCACGGUUGGAGGUGCAGGGUGAGGUCUCAUGGUUGGAGGUGCAGGGUGAGGUCUCACGGUUGGAGGUGAAGGGUGAGGUCUCAUGGUUGGAGUUGCAGGGUGAGGUCUCACGGUUGGAGGUGCAGGGUGAGGUCUCAUGGUUGGAGGUGUAGGGUGAGGUCUCAUGGUUGGCAGGGUGAGGUCUCAUGGUUGGAGGUGCAGGGUGAGGUCUCAUGGUUGGCAGGGUGAGGUCUCAUGGUUGGAGGUGCAGGGUGAGGUCUCAUGGUUGGAGGUGCAGGGCAGGGUGAGGUCUCACGGUUGGAGGUGCAGGGUGAGGUCUCAUGGUUGGAGGUGCAGGGUGAGGUCUCAUGGUUGGAGGUGCAGGGUGAGGUCUCAUGGUUGGAGGUGCAGGGUGAGGUCUCAUGGUUAGAGGUGAGGGGGUGAGGUCUCAUGGUUGGAGGUGCAGGGUGAGGUCUCAUGGUUGGAGGUGAGGGGGUGAGGUCUCAUGGUUGGCAGGGUGAGGUCUCAUGGUUGGCAGGGUG